GGAGGGACAAGGAGUGGCAGAUGCCCACAUCCUGGAGAUGGUGUUGGAGGAGCCAGAGAAGCAACUUCCUUCUGAAACGUCCGGACUCAGGUCUGACCUUCGGAGCCAGGGAACAACAUCACACAGCUGCUCAGGCUGGAGACCCAGGAGUGCAGCUGGCCCAAGUCCCAGUCCGAGUCCAAAGGGAGGAGAAGGCCGACGUCCCAGCUCGAAGACAGUCGGGCACAGAGCGAAUUCUCCCUCCUCAGCCCUUCGGUUCCAUUCAGGCCUCAGUGGGUCUGAAGAUGCCCACCGACACUGGGGAGGGCUUUACUCCGUCUGCAAGGCCAAAUGCUAAUCUCACCCAGAAACACCCUCAUGGACAUACCCAGGAUCUUGUUUAGCUGAAUCUCUGGGCGCCCCUGGCCAGAGAUGGACACAUAAAUUUGUGUCACGCCCGGAGUCUUCCCAGCGAUUGGACUUUUGAGGAAAAGUUUCCAGCAGUCACGUUUUUCACCGUGCUGUUGCUCUUGACGGCCCAAAGGACUCUUCAGUGCCUGGGACCCUCACGGUUUCAAAAACGUUAUUCAGAAAUAUUCUAAUUUUGUGCCGUAUGAGGUGCUUCCAAAUCUGUAACUAACUAAUCAAGCUCCGUCACUCAGGGGACAUUUUUUGCGCCUUGCCCUCUCUGAUCGGGGUUGGGCUGGAUGCAGGGACGCAUGGUUGGGGUCGGAGAUUCAGGGAUUCAAGGCCCAUCUCCAGUGGCCAGGCCUGGACUGGCCCCGUCCAGAGUUGCUCCUUCCCCGCUCCGCCCAGUUAACUCUUCUCCGUAGGCGUGCCGCCUGCUCCUGUCCCUGGGUCCUCUGGCCUCCUCCCUUCCUGAUGCAAUUCCUGAUGCACCCGGGGCCUCCGAGGCCCUUCCGUCCAUCAGCGUCCCAUGCUGACCUGCCGUGACAGCUCUCCUCCUUCCAACAUUGCGGACUCUGGAGAAUUAGCGAGCAACCUGUAAAGAGCUCCGAGGGCCGGAUUUGGGCUGGACUUGGGGGCCGUGCUUAGGAAAUUCCUCAAGGUGACAGUUAUCAAUUUCGUAAACUGUCUUUUCCGCUUCACUAAAUUCUAUUUUGCUCCCUUGAAAGGCGGCCGGGCUAAGGAUUAACCACAUUGUGGUUGGUUUGCAAUAUUUAAAUUCCAGACUGACUGACUCACAUGUUUCACAGCCUCCUCCAGGACGGUUUCUUUCCACUGUAGUCGCUCGUGCAGGUGAUGGAUGGCCCUUGAACUAUUUAAAAAGAAUCAAAGUAUUAAUUAUAAAUUUAAACAGAACAGUCAGAAAAUCUCUCUGAUCCAAUCGUCUCAUUUAUUGCCUCCUGUUUUACAUUAUUCACAGGCUUGCUAGCCUUUUUUUUUUUUUUGGAGAGGAAGAUUGUCGCUGAGCUAACAUCUGUGCCGACCAUCGUCUGUUUUAUGUGGG
rnacentral:lncRNA from 1 species